rnacentral:rRNA from 1 species
UACGGAGGGAGCUAGCGUUGUUCGGAAUUACUGGGCGUAAAGCGCACGUAGGCGGCUUUGUAAGUUAGAGGUGAAAGCCCGGGGCUCAACUCCGGAACUGCCUUUAAGACUGCAUCGCUUGAAUCCAGGAGAGGUGAGUGGAAUUCCGAGUGUAGAGGUGAAAUUCGAUAGAUAUUCGGAAGAACACCAGUGGCGAAGGCGGCUCACUGGACUGGUAUUGACGCUGAGGUGCGAAAGCGUGGGGAGCA